CCUUCCAGUCCAACCGUGGCGGGGCUGGGGGCAGUGGCGUGGGGCUGGGGUGAAGCGAAACUGCAGCAUCUUUUCAUCCCACCCCAGGGCCCGGGAUAUUCACCGGCUUCGUCCGCGAGGGACAGCUCUAGGGCUGGGACCCCCUGGACCAGCGAGGCUUCUCAGGCUGGCGCUGAGGUCUCCUUUGAGGAAGCUGGUUUGAGGAUGGAGCGUUCCAGUGAUUUGCACACAUCAUCAAUUCUGCAUCAGUCCAUAUUCCUCUUGUGGUAUCAGCCUGCGGCCCUCUGGCUUCUGAAUAUAGCAGGGCCAGUCAACGCUGUGAGCUUGUAAAGACAGACUCAUGGACCCGCCCACAUCCGACACCCACGCAAGCAGCCUAGCCCGCAGCUCCCGCAUGGUCGUCCGUCGAAACACGGUAAAAAUUGAUUGUUUUAUUCCCACUUUCUUUUUCCCUUUCCACCUAGCAUUUCUGAGCAAC